GCAGACACAUUCCAGCCAAUCAGCAGCAGACCCUCCCUCCCACACCCUCCCACCUCCUGGACAGCAUCCAUUUUGAAGCUGCGUUCUUAGUGAGCUGUCCAGGAGGUGGGAGGGUCUGGGAGGGAGGGUCUGCUGCUGAUUGGCUGGAAUGUGUCUG
rnacentral:miRNA from 1 species